UACGUAGGGUGCGAGCGUUAAUCGGAAUUACUGGGCGUAAAGCGUGCGCAGGCGGUUUUGUAAGACAGGCGUGAAAUCCCCGGGCUUAACCUGGGAACUGCGUUUGUGACUGCAAGACUAGAGUACGGCAGAGGGGGGUGGAAUUCCACGUGUAGCAGUGAAAUGCGUAGAGAUGUGGAGGAACACCAAUGGCGAAGGCAGCCCCCUGGGUCGAUACUGACGCUCAUGCACGAAAGCGUGGGUAGCAAACAGG
rnacentral:rRNA from 1 species